rnacentral:rRNA from 1 species
GUCUGCAACUCGACUACAUGAAGCUGGAAUCGCUAGUAAUCGCAGAUCAGAAUGCUGCGGUGAAUACGUUCCCGGGUCUUGUACACACCGCCCGUCACACCAUGGGAGUCGGAUAUGCCCGAAGCCAGUGACCCAACCGUAAGGAGGGAGCUGUCGAAGGUGGAGCCGAUAACUGGGGUGAAGUCGUAACAAGGUAUC